rnacentral:rRNA from 1 species
GAUGAACGCUGGCGGCGUGCCUAAUACAUGCAAGUCGAGCGAACGGACGAGAAGCUUGCUUCUCUGAUGUUAGCGGCGGACGGGUGAGUAACACGUGGAUAACCUACCUAUAAGACUGGGAUAACUUCGGGAAACCGGAGCUAAUACCGGAUGAUAUUUUGAACCGCAUGGUUCAAAAGUGAAAGACGGUCUUGCUGUCACUUAUAGAUGCAUCCGCGCUGCAUUAGCUAGUUGGUAAGGUAACGGCCUACCAAGGCAACGAUGCAUAGCCGACCUGAGAGGGUGAUCGGCCACACUGGAACUGAGACACGGUCCAGACUCCUACGGGAGGCAGCAGUAGGGAAUCUUCCGCAAUGGGCGAAAGCCUGACGGAGCAACGCCGCGUGAGUGAUGAAGGUCUUCGGAUCGUAAAACUCUGUUAUUAGGGAAGAACAUAUGUGUAAGUAACUGUGCACAUCUUGACGGUACCUAAUCAGAAAGCCACGGCUAACUACGUG